UACUGUCUUCUAGUCUCAUUCCUCACCUUGCUGAUCGGUUGUCAUCACUGCCGCUGUAGCCUCUCCUCACCGCCACCGCCAUUGUCUCAUUUUCUUGCCAAUCGGUGCCUACUCGUCGUCGUCGACUCGUCGCGUCGAGAAUGGAUGAUGAGGGAAAUACAAAUGAUGGUUGCGUUGCUGGUGGAAACCCUCAUGCACCAACUGCAGAAUCAACUACUGUUGCUAGUUCUACCACUACCACAAUGCCUGCCAAAAAUUCUGAUUGAUGAAGUUUUUGGAGUUUGGUCGAAGCAAUUGUGAAGGAUUGAAGUUAUUGUGGAGUUUGAUGAGUAGAUUAAUUUUUUGAACUUUUGGAUUGUUUGUGGACUUUGAUUAACUUUUCAGAAUUUUUUUUUUUAGAACUAUGUUAGAUGUUGGAUUUAGAUUAACUUUUGAACUUUUGGAUUGUUUGUGGACUUUGAUUAACUUUUCAGAACCUUUUUUAGAACUAUGUUGGAUGUUGGAUGUUAGAUGAACUAUGUUGGAUUGUUUGCGAACUAUGUUGAGCUUAGUUUAACUUUAGAACUUUUUUUUACUAUUUAUUGCCUUGUUAAAUUAUUAUUGUAUAAUUUAUUUGGAGUGUUGGAUUUUUAGUUUAC